AUUGAACGCUGGCGGCAUGCCUUACACAUGCAAGUCGAACGGCAGCACGGGUGCUUGCACCUGGUGGCGAGUGGCGAACGGGUGAGUAAUACAUCGGAACAUGUCCUGUAGUGGGGGAUAGCCCGGCGAAAGCCGGAUUAAUACCGCAUACGAUCUACGGAUGAAAGCGGGGGACCUUCGGGCCUCGCGCUAUAGGGUUGGCCGAUGGCUGAUUAGCUAGUUGGUGGGGUAAAGGCCUACCAAGGCGACGAUCAGUAGCUGGUCUGAGAGGACGACCAGCCACACUGGGACUGAGACACGGCCCAGACUCCUACGGGAGGCAGCAGUGGGGAAUUUUGGACAAUGGGCAAAAGCCUGAUCCAGCAAUGCCGCGUGUGUGAAGAAGGCCUUCGGGUUGUAAAGCACUUUUGUCCGGAAAGAAAUCCUUGGCUCUAAUACAGUCGGGGGAUGACGGUACCGGAAGAAUAAGCACCGGCUAACUACGUG
rnacentral:rRNA from 1 species